UAUUUAGACAACUCCAGGGACAACUGCAGUCGUUCCUCGAGCGCAAGACCGUCCGCGGAUUUCCAUCGAGAGAUCUCGAUCUGAAAAUCAUAUCCGUCGUGAUUUGCAGCUUGACAGUAAUGGUGAUUCAGAAGAGACCUCGCCAGUUUAUCAGCCAGUCGCCUCCACUCUCUUGCCUUCAAUUGUGCCAUCUUCCUCCUCAUCGAGGAGCCGAUCAACUCCAGCCACCACGCCACUGUCUCAUGUAAACGCUAGAGCGAGUUGUUCCGACCACGAAGGGCAGUUUGACGCACUUCAGUGAAAACUUGUUCUUACAGAAAAAAUUGACAACUUACAAGGCCAACAGUCAGCACCCGCAGUGGCAGAAAAAAAGGAAAAGUGAAAACCUUCCACGAGAUAUGGUGUUUUAAUGAUGACACCAACCUUGAGGUUACCCAAGCAAUCGAAAGAGGUGUCAGAGCAACAUCAGCUUUCAAAGAGGCUGAUCCUGUCAUAUUAGAGUGUGCCUUUAAGACUUACUUUAAAAUCCUCAAAGCAAAAAUCAGAGGAGUUGUUAACCCACUUGAGGAAUGAGGAAUUUCCCCAAUUGGCAAACAAGCAGGAUGAAAGUGUAAUAAAUUCUAGGAGGAGUCAAAGGGGUCACAAUGUGAGUGAAUAAUGGUUUACUUAUCCUAAACAGAAAUGACUAAAAAUUUUUAUCACAUGACCAAUAAUUUUUUUGUUUUGACCAGGUGUGUUGUCGCUUGCAUCAGUUUCAAAACUUUAGUGUCAACAACACUAUAAGGAAACUAAUUAGCUAUUGUGGUGAUUGUUGUAAAAAAAAUUGAAUUUGAUUAAUUGAAAGUUAAUUUUCUAGCCAAAAAUAAAGCCUUAGAUGCUUACAGUCAAACUGGAUAUACUUUUGAUUGCAAACUUUUGCCUCACCAUUGGUAUUUGAUUGACAGUUUGAGUCGAGCAAGUUUCAAGCUGUACAAGCAAGUUACAACUUGCUUGUACAUUGAUAUUAACUUGCUUGACACGAUAUUAACAUACUAGCAUGUACUGUCUUACCUGACUUUAUAUGGCAAAAUGAAAACCAGAGCUUGAGAACUUACUCCAGCAAAUUCAAAUUGAAAGUUUCAACCUGCUCACAUAGGUUGCAGCUUGCUGGACUCAGACUGUCAUCAAAUACCAAUGUUGAGGCAGAAGUUUGCAAGGUUGCCAUCAAAAGAACAUCUGGUUAACGUUUGACUAUAGAAAUUUAUAGUCAAACUGGUUGCCUCCUGAUGGGAACUCUAGAAUAUUGCAUU